CCUACGGGAGGCAGCAGUGGGGAAUAUUGGGCAAUGGGCGCAAGCCUGACCCAGCAACGCCGCGUGAAGGAAGAAGGCUCUCUGGUUGUAAACUUCUUUUAAGAGGGAAGAGCAGAAGACGGUACCUCUUGAAUCAGCCACGGCUAACUACGUGCCAGCAGCCGCGGUAAUACGUAGGUGGCAAGCGUUUUCCGGAUUUACUGGGUGUAACGGGCGUGCAGCCGGGAAGACAAGUCAGAUGUGAAAUCCCGCGGCUCAAACGCGGAACUGCAUUUGAAACUGUUUUUCUUGAGUACCGGAGAGGUCAUCGGAAUGCCUUGUGUAGCGGUGAAAUGCGUAGAUAUAAGGAAGAACACCAGUGGCGAAGGCGGAUGACUGGACGGCAACUGACGGUGAGGCGCGAAAGCGUGGGGAGCAAACAGGAUUAGAUACCCCAGUAGUC
rnacentral:rRNA from 1 species